GAUGAACGCUGGCGGCGUGCCUAAUACAUGCAAGUCGAGCGAACAGACGAGGAGCUUUCUCCUCUUACGUUAGCGGCGGACGGGUGAGUAACACGUGGAUAACCUACCUAUAAGACUGGGAUAACUUCGGGAAACCGGAGCUAAUACCGGAUAAUAUAUUGAACCGCAUGGUUCGAUAGUGAAAGACGGUUUUGCUUUCACUUAUACAUGGAUCCGCGCCGCAUUAGCUAGUUGGUAAGGUAACGGCUUACCAAGGCAACGAUUCGUAGCCGACCUGAGAGGGUGACCGGCCACACUGGAACUGAGACACGGUCCAGACUCCUACGGGAGGCAGCAGUAGGGAAUAUUCCGCAAUGGGCGAAAGCCUGACGGAGCAACGCCGCGUGAGUGAUGAAGGUCUUCGGAUCGUAAAACUCUGUUAGUAGGGAAGAACAAAUGUGUAAGUAAAUAUGCACGUAUUGACGGUACCUAAUCAGAAAGCCACGGCUAACUCCGUG
rnacentral:rRNA from 1 species